GAUGAACGCUGGCAGCAUGCCUAAUACAUGCAAGUCGACCUGAACGACGGGAAGGUUGCCGCUCGGAUGUUAACGGCGGACGGAUGUGGAACCACUGGAUGACCUAACAAUAGGACACGGAUAACAACGCCAAACCGGAUCUAAAACCGGAUGAUAUUAUGAAUGACAUGGUUAAGCACUGUGAGACAGCUUUGCUUUCACUUAUAUAUGUAGCCGCGUUGCAUUAGCUAGUUGGUACGGUAAAUGCUUAGCAAGGCAACGAGGCGUAGCCGAACUGAGAGGGUGAUCGGCCACCCUGGGACUGAGACACGCUCCAGACUCCUACGGGCGGCACCAGUAGGGAAUCUUGCGGCAUGGGCGAAGGCCUGACGGAGCAACGCCGCGUGAGUGAUGAAGGUCUUCGGAUCGUAAAACUCUGUUUUUCGGGAAGAAAAGAGGUGUAAGUAGGUGUGCACAUCAUGACGGUACCUACUGAGGAAGCCACGGCUAACUACGUG
rnacentral:rRNA from 1 species